AAAAAAAGUAGCGAAGCAUGUGAGCCCUGUGCCGAGAAAAGCCGCUAUAGCUUUAUAUGUGCCCGUACCGUAAACCGACACAGGUGGAUGAGGAGAGAAUCCUAAGGCCGGCGGAAGAAGUAUUGUUAAGGAACUCGGCAAAAUGACCCCGUAACUUCGGGAGAAGGGGUGCCCACGGGAGUGGGCCGCAGAGAAUAGGCUCAAGCAACUGUUUAGCAAAAACACAGGUCUAUGCGAAACCGAAAGGUGAAGUAUAUUGGCUGACGCCUGCCCGGUGCUGGAAGGUUAAGAGGAGAGGUUAGAGCAAUCGAAGCUUUGAAUUUAAGCCCCAGUAAACGGCGGCCGUAACGAUAACGGUCCUAAGGUAGCGAAAUUCCUUGUCGGGUAAGUUCCGACCCGCACGAAAGGCGUAAUGAUUUGAGCACUGUCUCGACAAUACAUCCGGUGAAAUUGAAGUACCAGUGAAGAUGCUGGUUACCCGCGCCAGGACGGAAAGACCCCAUGGAGCUUUACUCCAGUUUGGUACUGGGAUUCGGUACUGCACGUACAGGAUAGGUGGGAGACUAAGAAACUUGAACGCCAGUUUGAGUGGAGUCGCUGUUGGGAUACCACCCCUGCAGUAUUGGAUUUCUAACCAGUCACCGUGAUCCGGUGAUGGGACAAUGCCAGGCGGGGAGUUUGACUGGGGCGGUCGCCUCCGAAAGGGUAUCGGAGGCGCUCAAAGGUUCCCUCAGAAUGGUCGGAAACCAUUUGAAGAGUGCAAAGGCAGAAGGGAGCUUGACUGCGACACCGACGGGUGGAGCGGGUAGGAAACUAGGACUUAGUGAUCCGGUGGCAUAAAGUGGGAUUGCCAUCGCUCAACGGAUAAAAGCUACCCUGGGAUAACAGGCUUAUCACUCCCAAGAGUUCACAUCGACGGAGUGGUUUGGCACCUCGAUGUCGGCUCAUCGCAUCCUGGGGCUGUAGCAGGUCCCAAGGGUUGGGCUGUUCGCCCAUUAAAGCGGUACGCGAGCUGGGUUCAGAACGUCGUGAGACAGUUCGGUCCCUAUCCGGCGCGGGCGGAGGAUAUUUGAGAGGAGCUGUCCUUAGUACGAGAGGACCGGGAUGGACGGACCACUGGUGUAUCUGCUGUCGGCCAACGGCAUGGCAGAGUAGCCAAGUCCGGAAGGGAUAAACGCUGAAGGCAUCUAAGCGUGAAGCCCCCCUCAAGAUGAGAUAUCCCUCACAUAAGUGGGUAAGAUCCCUUGAAGACUACAAGGUAGAUAGGGCAGAGGUGGAAGUGUGGCAACACAUGGAGCUGACUGUUACUAAUCGAUCGAGGGCUUGACC
rnacentral:rRNA from 1 species